rnacentral:rRNA from 1 species
CCAGGAUGUUGGCUUAGAAGCAGCCAUCAUUUAAAGAAAGCGUAAUAGCUCACUGGUCGAGUCGGCCUGCGCGGAAGAUGUAACGGGGCUAAACCAUGCACCGAAGCUGCGGCAGCGAACGUAUCACCCAAGACAACUUUACGGAGUUGACGAUUGACGGAGCGAAGCGACGUCAAAGCGUUCAUUAAAGUCGAGUUGGCUUAGGGAUACGUUCGUUGGGUAGGGGAGCGUUCUGUAAGCCUGUGAAGGUGUGUUGUGAGGCAUGCUGGAGGUAUCAGAAGUGCGAAUGCUGACAUAAGUAACGAUAAAGCGGGUGAAAAGCCCGCUCGCC